AGAGUUUGAUCCUGGCUCAGGACGAACGCUGGCGGCGUGCUUAACACAUGCAAGUCGAACGGAAAGGCCCUUUCGGGGGUACUCGAGUGGCGAACGGGUGAGUAACACGUGGGUGAUCUGCCCUGCACUUCGGGAUAAGCUUGGGAAACUGGGUCUAAUACCGGAUAGGACUACGAGAUGCAUGUCUUGUGGUGGAAAGCUUUUGCGGUGUGGGAUGGGCCCGCGGCCUAUCAGCUUGUUGGUGGGGUGAUGGCCUACCAAGGCGACGACGGGUAGCCGGCCUGAGAGGGUGUCCGGCCACACUGGGACUGAGAUACGGCCCAGACUCCUACGGGAGGCAGCAGUGGGGAAUAUUGCACAAUGGGCGCAAGCCUGAUGCAGCGACGCCGCGUGGGGGAUGACGGCCUUCGGGUUGUAAACCUCUUUCAGCAGGGACGAAGCGCAAGUGACGGUACCUGCAGAAGAAGCAC
rnacentral:rRNA from 1 species